UUUUCACUGUGAUUUUUUUUAUGGUUGCUUAGGGGUCUUUUCAAUGAAUCCUUCUCCUUGCUGCUUACUGAUUUUAUAUGGGGGAAAUUAGGUUGUUUUUUUCAUUGUUAUGAUCAUAUUCCUACUAAUUGUUAUGAUCAUUGUCUUACCAAAAUCAAUGAUUCUGCUCUAUACAUACUGUCUUCUUUUAACAUUUUCU
rnacentral:lncRNA from 1 species